GACCGAGCGGCCGCGUUGUCAUCUCCAAUUCCAUCCAUUUCUUGGCGACUCUCCUGGCGAUGGGUUUCAGCGUCGGGGAGACGCUCGCGUCGUCGGUGGUGAAGGAGGCGGUGAACAUGAUCCGCGUCGCGGCCGAGCGCGAGGCGGGCCUGCUCUCGAGCUUCAAGGACGACCUGGGGGCCAUGGGGGACACGCUGGAGACCAUCCACGCGGCGCUCAGGGACGCGGACGCCGCCCAGGGGCCGGCGCCGGCGAGGAUGGACGAGAGGACGCGCCUGCUGCUCGGGCGCCUCAAGGCGGCGGCGCAGGACAUCGAGGACCUGCUGGAGGAGUUCGCGGACGCCGGCGCCCGGGGCCGCCGCAGCAACUGGCUCCGCGAGGGGUCUCGCUGCUGCUAUAAUAUAUCUCUGUCGCGCAGUAUCUUGGCUCACAAAAUGAGGAAGAUGAGGGAAAGAUUAGGAAGAAUUCAAGCAGAUGCUGGACUUGCUAGAUCCCAUGGUGGCACGAGCAGCAAUCUCCAUGAUCAGGAUGAUGGUAUCAGCUGAAGAGAAACAUGGUCAGAUUUCAGAGAAUAUAUUGUGGGGAGAGAGGAGGACAGAGAAGCAGUAGUGAGCACUUUGCUCAGGCACACUGAGAAAGAGCUCUCUGUUAUCUCGAUACAUUGCUUUGGCGGUUUAGGGAAGACGACACUUGCCCGGCUGGCCUUCAAUGCUGAGCCUGUGAUCAGAGCCUUCGAUUGUAGGGUCUGGAUUCAUGUGUCUAUGAAAUAUGAUUUGAUUAAAAUUGGGAAGUCGAUACUUUCCAAACUUGAAGCAAAUUGUUCUGGUGAUUUGGAUCACUUGAAGACACAACUGAAAGGAUUGCUCAAGGACAAGACUUUCUUGAUCGUUCUGGAUGACAUUUGGGAGGAAGACCCGCAUGAACUGGUGAAGUUGAUGGAUUUUCUGAAUGUUGGUGCAAAAGGAAGCAUGGUCUUAGUUACUACACGAUAUGAGAAAAUCGCUAUAAACAUGGACCCUGUUCUAUGCCACAGGCUGGACAGUUUAUCUGAUGGAGAAUGUUGGGAUCUUUUUAAGGAAACAGCCUUCGUCUCUGAAGCCAAAGAAGCAAGACUGCAACACAUCGGCAGAGAUAUAGUAAAGAAGUGCAAAGGUGUUCCUCUAGCUGUGAGAUCGCUUGCAUUUAUACUAAAAUUCAAGGAAGGGGUUGAUGAGUGGGAAGAUAUCAGGGAUAGUCACCUCUGGGAAUUGGAGGAAAAACAAGAUAUAUCUUUUGAGAGUGUCCUACCAUCAUUGAAGUUGAGCUUUCAACAUAUGUCUGCCACCUUGAAAUUAUGCUUUGUGUAUUGCUCUGUCUUCCCAAAAGGCAGUUACAUUGAUAAGGACUUGCUGAUCCAACAAUGGAUUGCACUUGGGUUUAUUCGGCUUAAUGAGUCGUUCCAUCCUGAAAGGCACGGUGAGGAGUAUGUUAAACAACUUUUGGGGAUGUCCUUCCUUCAGAUUUCAACUACACAAACACCUGAGUCACCCUGUAGGCUUUUAUAAAUAUUUUCUCAAGUUUAGUUUCAUUCUGUUCCUUAUCAAAUACCAGAUAGUCUCAUACCAUGAUCCAGUUCCGAAUUUAUGGAAGCAGAAGAACCAAUAUGUGAAUUCAAUAUGCAAUCAUAGGUGUAGAUGUCAUCCAAGUGUUGUGAUUAUUUAUGAAUAUGCAUCACUUGCAGCUACAGAACAUUGUAGUAUGUAGACUUGAAAAUACGAGUGUAUGUCGUGGGUGUUAUCCAAACCAGCUCAUCAUACUUUUGUGUUGGAUUGUUCUGUUGUUUUUGUCUUUAAAAGUGGAAUUGCUCAGUAUUUGGCUGGCACAUGGUGUUUGUUUGUAACAUUUUUCUUCCAGAUUACCAGGAAAUGUAUUGAAGCACCAAAUGUAUUCUGUUUGCAUGACCUAGUAUAUGACUUGGCAAGAUCCCUGGCGAUGGUGGACCUACUUUUCCUUGACACUGAGAGUAACCUUAAAGUUAGUUCCACACACAGUGAUUGCCGUUAUGCAGUGCUCACCAAUUGCAGUCCAACAACUCUCCCUAACAAGAUGAUGCGAAAACUGAGGGCUCUCCAUGUUAACGAAUGGAAGCAAGAAAAGAUCCCUAAUAAAAUAUUUGCUACUAAAUUCUUGAGAGUCUUGAAUUUAAGUGGAUGUUCUCUUUUGGUGCUGCCAAGUCGCAUCAAACAGUUGAAGCUACUGAGGUACCUUGAUGCUUCAGGAAUGCAAGAUAAAACGCUUAAUCACUUGAGCAGUCUGCAGAAUUUACAGGCAUUAAAGCUCUCAGGUAGCUUGAUUGGGGCACUUCCACAGGACAUGGGUUCUCUUGAGAAGCUGCGUUAUUUAAAUCUGAGUGGUUGUUCUAAUCUUUUGGUACUGCCAGAAUCAUUAUGUAGUCUUGGAAACUUGCAGUAUCUAGACAUGUCAAACUGCUCUGCAGUUGCCUCCACAUUUUGGCAAUCUUUUUAGCCUGUCAACUCUGGAUUUAUCAUCUUGUUGUGACUUAACAAAGCUUCCAGAGAGUCUCGGUAGCCUUCAAAAGCUUCGUGUUCUAGAUCUUUCUAACUGUUGGAAACUUGAUGCAUUGUCUGAUUCUUUUGCUAAACUUGAUCAUUUGAAGGGUCUAAAUUUGUCAUGUUGUUAUGAACUUAAAGAGCUACCAGAACUAUUUGGCAACCUUGAGACUCUGGAUCUGUCAGAUUGUCACAAGCUUCAGAAAUUGCCUGAAUCUAUUUCUGGACUUAAAAUUUUGAAGGUACUAAUUCUAUCUGACUGCUGGGAACUAACUGUACUUCCAGAGUCAUUCGGGAAUCUCAAACAACUCCAGUAUCUAGACCUGUCAAGUUCUAAGAUUUCUGCAUUGCCUGAAUCUGUUAGUGAACUUGUCAAUUUAGAGUAUAUGAAUAUAUCAUGGUGCACGGAUCUUCAUGAGUUACCUGGUAACUAUGGCAAUUUAGUCAAACUUGAAGAGCUGAACAUGUCAUACAUUGGCAAUGGUAAUGUCAACAUUCCGAAGGGGAUAGCUGAAAUGUCUAAUCUCAAGAUUCUGUUGGCAGAUGGCCUUGUCAAUUGGUCAUGGGAAAAUGAAGAAGAUAUCGUGUUCUUUAAUGCUUUAAGUAGCUCCAGGUCUAGUUUUUUCUUUACUGGGGAGAAUAAACCAAGUGAUUUAAGCAUAAAGGAUAAUACUCUUCUAGUUGGAGAUCUUGGGCGUGUGCAGAAUCUUGCGGAAGUUGAGGAACUGCAAUUAUGGAAAAGGCGGCAGCUGCAGUCACUGAUGGUCUCGGGGCAUGGUUAUGGGACUGGUACAGAACUAGCACAAGAACUUGUGCCUCAAGAGGCCGUGCUUGAGAAAUUGCAACCUCCAAGGACACUAGAGCGGUUUGAAUUGUUGGGCUGUACUUUUUGUACAUUUCCUAGUUGGAUGACAGACAUUGCAUCUUUCCUCCCAAACCUUGCUCACCUUGAACUACGCCAUCUGGAAACAUGUGUCUGCCUUCCACCUCUUGGACAACUGCCUAAGCUACAUAUGUUGGUGAUAUCUGACAUGCCUCAUAUCAAGGAAGUCAAUCAAGAAUUCUCAGGGGGUGCUAGACCAUUUCAGAAGUUAAGAAACAUUGUGAUAGAGAAUAUGCCAAACCUGGAAAAAUGGCACACAGAUGCUACUGUAAGUGGCAAUGAUGUGGAAUUGAUGUUCCCAGUUCUUCAUCAUCUGAAGAUACACAAAUGUCCAAAGUUGAGAUUUCAGCCGUUCCUUCCUCGAUCUGUGUCAUUGGAAAUUUAUAGAAGCAAUCAAGUUCUAUCGUCAGGAGUUCAAUCAACUGGCCUGCCAACAAUAAGGGUGCUGAUCGAUUCCUGCACAUUAUCUUCUGAUGGUUUGAUAGGGUUGCAGUCUCUUACCCUAUGUUUUCAAGGCGUCGCCUAGGCGUCGCCUAGGCGACGCCUAGGCGUCAGAGCGCUCGCGAACGUCAAGGCGUCGCCGUCGCUUUAGUUUUUUGUCUAAGGCGUCCGCCUUGUGCUGUUGAGGCGUCCAAGGCGUCGCCUAGGCGUCCAAGGCGCCGCUUUGCUUGAUUUUGGACGCCCUGGACAUGCGCGGGCAGGUUGAGCGGGAACCAGCAGCUGGCGCGCGCCAGAAAGAGGAAUUGGCGGGAGGGAAGAGAAAUUGGGCGGGAGAGAGGGGGUAAACAGAGGCAGGAGAGAGAGGGGAACACACCUGUGACUCCAAAUCGAGGGGAAAAGAGAGAGGAGCUCUCUCCUCUCAGUCUCUCACGCCGCCGGCCCAGAUCCGUUCCUCCUCCGCCGGCCUCCCCCUGUCCGGCCAAGCUCCUCCUCCGCAGGCCCUUCCCCUCUCCGGCCAAGAUCCAUCUCCGCCGGCCAUCCCCCUCUCCGGCCAAGUUUAUGUAAUAUGUAAUGCACUCAUGUUUGUCAUCUUGUUUUGCACUUGCUCUGUCAUCUACUCUGUUUUUUUACCAAUGGUGAUCUAUUAAUUAAGUUUAGUUUUAACCAUAUAUGAUAUAUGUUCAUCUUUAUGCAGAUUUCUAUUGUGGAAGGCAGAAAUGGGAAACAAGAUGGGAGGAAUGGAUGCUAUGUGGGCUCAACAACCAGGAAAUUCAAGGUCAAUUGGUUGACGAAUAUGCCAUCCUGUCUCAAGAAUCUUGUAAAUCUUGAGCUUGACAGUUUCAUUGGCUGUGACCGACUUCCCUUCCUUGGCUGUCUAGAAAAGCUACGUUCAUUGACACUACGACAGAUGCCUGAUCUCAAGACAGUGCAUCAGGAUAUUUCCGGGGGCAGCAAUUGUUUGCCGAUGCUACAAACCCUCAAGAUAGGGAGCAUGCCUAAUCUUGAAAGGUGGACUACCGCGCAUGCUACUGCAGCACAUGCUACUCAUGUGAGGAUCUUCCCUGAUCUUCAACUACUCAAGGUUUUUGACUGUCCAAAGCUUAAGUUUGUGCCAUUUCUUCCAGUCUGCUCAAAGUGCAUUAUCAGUGUGACUAGUGAGGUAAUAGUGCCGGAGCACCAUGAUGAUCCUCCCUGGGACAUGCCCACAUCAGAACUAUUCUGCUUCUAUUUACAUGGUAGAUGCACAGGACUCCAAUACUUCAAAUUCCUGAGAUUACUAUCAGUUUAUGGCUGUACAAAUAUGAGCAGUUGGCAAGAAAGCAUCCUCCUCCUUACCUCCCUUCAGAAACUGGAGUUGCAUGAGAGCGACAUGCCUGGAUGGUUGUGUAAACUCUCCUCGCUGUGUGAACUUCACAUCAUAAAGAGCAAACCACCGCUCAACCUAUCCCAGUUUGUUUAUGAUCGUCACCAGAUUGCCUUAAGAAUCGAGGAUUGCCAGGGGACACUCAAGCAGGUGCCUUCUGUAGUGAUUUUGGACAUGAUAAGACACAUCACUUCUGUGGAAAUAAUUGGUGUAAGUUCUGUUCAGCACCUUAAAUAUACGGACAUACCAUUUUUUAAUGUUUUUGAUACAAAAGUUACACAAUUACUUUCUUCCUAAUUGUUAGCCGAUGUCAAGGUAACUGUGCAAGAUCCAUUUCUGAAUUAUACUUUUCACCUGUGCUAUUACUUGACACCCCAUGCAGAAGUGUGAUGUGCUUCUUUUUAUGCGCAAGAUGCUAUCGAAACAAUGAUUCUGUAACACCAUACUAGUAACUAGAAUUCCAAAUCAUCCUCUUCUUUUGGGUAACAUUCAUGUAAUCAAACCAUUUUUCCUUAAAAAGAUGUAUUUAAAUAUUGUGCAGCGCAGUCAAACAGUGACUUCAAGAUUUUGGGAUAAUCUUAUUUCAUUCAGUGACAUGACAAGAUGGUCACUUCCAUCCCUCAUCUUGUUCUAAUGCUCUAGCAUUUUGACGUCAGUGUGAGCCAAUAAUGAAUGCAGAGUGGCGAAAUGGUGAACUCUUCAAGUGCAAACUUCGAAAGUCCAGUGAGUGGUACAUGCCGCGUGCAGAUGCUGGGUCACUGCCGACCAUCCUUGGCACAUGGCAAGAGGAACCGACAGAGCUCCGCUCUGGUGAUACAGCCAACCCUGACCAACCAGGGCCUUCACUCCUUCAGGAACCAAGUGACCGAUGAUGAUGAUGCGAAUAAGGAGAUGGUGGCAGUGAAGACCUCCCUCCUCCUGAUGCUUCUUCCUCAGUGAAAUAGAUGUUUUUCUCAUUUCUGUUGUAUGCUGCAAACACAGCACCCAGCUGCAAAACGUACUCCGUGCUAUCUGUAUUGUUGCUUCGCGUUAAUUUGAAGCCAGUGCAUCCCAGUGAUUCAAAUCGCGGCAUAGGCAACAUGUUCAUGCAAACCAGGUCUGCGAAGGUUGUACUGUAUAUGGUUAACUGGUUUGGUUGUGUUACUGUUCAGAAAAAUGAAAGCUGC
rnacentral:rRNA from 1 species